rnacentral:rRNA from 1 species
CUCGUAGGCGGCCAACUAAGUCAGACGUGAAAUCCCUCGGCUUAACCGGGGAACUGCGUCUGAUACUGGAUGGCUCGAGUUUGGGAGAGGGAUGCGGAAUUCCAGGUGUAGCGGUGAAAUGCGUAGAUAUCUGGAGGAACACCGGUGGCGAAGGCGGCAUCCUGGACCAACACUGACGCUGAUGAGCGAAAGCCAGGGGAGCAAACG